rnacentral:rRNA from 1 species
CCUACGGGUGGCAGCAGUGGGGAAUAUUGCACAAUGGGGGGAACCCUGAUGCAGCGACGCCGCGUGAGGGAAGACGGCCUUCGGGUUGUAAACCUCUGUCGCAGGGGACGAAGGAGAUGACGGUACCCUGUGAGGAAGCCACGGCUAACUACGUGCCAGCAGCCGCGGUAAUACGUAGGUGGCGAGCGUUGUCCGGAAUUACUGGGUGUAAAGGGUGCGCAGGCGGAAGAUCAAGUCAGCGGUAAAAUUGAGAGGCUCAACCUCUUCGAGCCGUUGAAACUGGUUUUCUUGAGUGAGUGAGAAGUAUGCGGAAUGCGUGGUGUAGCGGUGAAAUGCAUAGAUAUCACGCAGAACUCCGAUUGCGAAGGCAGCAUACCGGCGCUCAACUGACGCUCAUGCACGAAAGUGUGGGUAUCGAACAGGAUUAGAUACCCCAGUAGUC